GUUUUGGUUCAUGGCUCUAAUGGUGAAAGGACCUACAUCUUGAACUUUGUUAUCUACAAAUAUCUCUGUACACCAUCAAAUUUAAACUUAAAUUAGGCAACUCACACUUUACAACCAGCUCCACACCACUGUAAUUAUAUUUCUCACUCUGUUUUUCAUCAUUAACUAAGGUGGGUGUAGAUUGAUUCACAUGGUUGAAAUGGCUUGUAUUAUUAUGGUAUGUGGGUCACAACUUACAAAUUCUAGGUUCCUAAGAAUUAUAUAUUACUCACAUUUGUUUUUUCCUCCUUAGGAAU
rnacentral:misc_RNA from 1 species